AAAAUCUUCAUUUGAAGUUAUUCCCAAGCCUUUUAAUAGUGAUUGUUAUUCCUUAACAUACUUUCUCACUGGGCAUAGUUCUUGGUAUCUAUUUUGCCAAUAUUUCUUAUUGGUUUAGUAGCAUUUCAUUUUCCUCCUCGCUCUACAGCACUCCAUCUCUCUCUCAUACUUGUUUGUAACCUCCAUCUUUCUGUUACCAUCUGCAGAAGUACCAUAGAGAUGUUUU
rnacentral:misc_RNA from 1 species